CCCGUCACACCAUGGGAGUGGGUUGCAAAAGAAGUAGGUAGCUUAACCUUCGGGAGGGCGCUUACCACUUUGUGAUUCAUGACUGGGGUGAAGUCGUAACAAGGUAACCGUAGGGGAACCUGCGGUUGGAUCACCUCCUUA
rnacentral:rRNA from 1 species